rnacentral:lncRNA from 1 species
AGACACACCCCGGCUGGCGAGGUGUCUGCUCCUCCUUGUUCCCAUGAUGCCCCAGAGGAGCCAAGGCCAAGAGGAGCCAAGCCCAGAGCAGAAAUUAGCCGGGCGUGGUGACACGUGCCUGUGAUUCCAGCUACUUGGGCGGCUGACACACAAGAAUCACUUGUACCCAGAGGGCGGAGGUUGCAAUGAGUCAAGAUCACGCCACUGCACUCCAGCCUGGACAACAGAGCAAGAAUGUCUCAAAAUGAAUAAAUAAAUAAAUAAAUAAAUAAAUAAGCAAGCAAAAUACUGGAGUAAUGAAAGUGUCAUCCAUGGAAGAAUGAGCAAAACAAUUGUGUUACAUUUCAAUGGUGAGAUACUACACAGCUUUGAUUAAUUCUUGGAACGAAUUAACCAGCUUUUCAGGUCACAUUACAUGCUACAUGCUGUUCUAGUACCUAAAAAAUAAUCUUUGCUCUCACAGAGCUGGCUGUCUUAUGGAGGAAUAUAGGUAAUAAGACUUGGAUAGGUAGGAAGAUUCGGUGGUUCACAGUGUUCAUGAGUGGCAUGAAUCACUAAAUGAAUACACCAGGACUACAUGUAACAAUAUGAAUGAAUAGUGCUGAGUAACAAUAUGAAUGAAUAGUGCUGAGUGAAAAAGAAAGUUACAGAAGGAUUCAUACCAAAUGAAACCAUUUCUCUGACUUUUUAAGAUCUGCAAAAUUUUUUUUUUAAGAGUUUCACUCUUGUUGCCCAGGCUAGAGUGCAAUGGCACAAUCUCAGCUCACUGCAACCUCCACCUCCCAGGUUCAAGUGAUUCUCCUGCCUCAGCCUCCCCAGGUAGCUGGGACUACAGGCAUGCACCACCAUGCCCGGCUAAUUUUUUUGUAUUUAGUAGAGACAGGGUUUCAAAAUGUUGGUCAGGCUAGUCUCGAACUCCUGACCUCAGGUGAUCUGCCCGCCUCAGCCUCCCAAAGUGCUGAGAUGACAGGUGAGAGCCACCGCGAACAGCCAAGAUCUGCAAAUUUUUACAUACCGUUUAUGGAAACAUUGGGAUAAUUAACCCCAAACUCAGGAGACUGGUUAUCUCAGAGGAGGGAGGGAGAGCCGUGGGUACCAGGGGACACAGGGUUUCCCUCACCAAAUAAAGAAAAAAAAGAUCUGAUGCGAACAUGGCUAAAUGUUAAGAUCUGGAGAGAGUAUGUGGGGAAGGUAGACUGGAGUUGGCCAUCUAUGGACAGGAGGCGCCAGGGAGGAGGGAGCCUUCCAGGAGGGAGGGGCUGUCUGAACUGACCCUGUUCUCUACAUCAUUGUGACCAAACGUUCAGCACUUUAAAGAAAAACCAGGCCGGGCGCGGUGGCUCACGCCUGUAAUCCCAGCACUUUGGGAGGCCGAGGCAGGUGGAUCGCCUGAGGCCAGAAGUUUGAGACCAACCUGGUCAACAUGGCGAAACCCCGUCUCUACUAAAAAUACAAAAAUUAGCCUGGCGUGGUGGUGGGCACCUGUAAUCCCAGCUACUGAAGAGACUGAGGCAGGAGAAUCACUUGAACCUGGGAGGCAAAGGUUGCAGUGAGCCGAGAUCAUGCCACUGCACUCCAGCCUGGGUGACAGAGCGAGACUCCGUCUCAAAAAAUAAUAAUAAAGAAAUGAAAAUCCAAAAUGGUUUUGUUUCCCUGGACAUAAGCUAUCGGCCUGAUGGCCUCCUUUCUGUCCUCCAGACCAGGCCCAACCUUACCUCGGUUCAUUUGUUCAUUUUUGUCUUUGGUGUCCCCACUUCUUGUGAAAUUUCAGCCAGAGACUGGUAAGAAAGUAUCUGGGUGAGGUGCAGUGGCUCACAUCUAUAAUCCCAGCAUUUUGGGAGGCCAAGGCAGGAGGAUCAGUUGAGCCCAGGAGUUAGAGAUCAGCCUGGGCAAUAUGGCAAGACCCCUGUCUAUACAAAAAAAAAAUUUUAAAGAAAAAAGAAAAAUAAUAAUAAUUUUAAAAAGUAUCUGGAUCUCACCUUUGAAACACAGGCUGCUCCCUUCUGUGUGCAAAUGGCAGCAGCCCUGGAGCUGAGGAGGGUCUCCUGUUGUCUGAGUUCUUUCAGGGCACAUUUCCAGAGCCCCUGCUGGGCGGCUGUUCUGGUACUUGGGAUCACACAGAGAAUUCAAAGUCCAGGUUUUCCUGGCACUCACGUUCAAAGGGAGAAAACAAAAUAUACACAAGUAAAAUGAAGAGAAUAGCCGAUAAUAAGUGUCACGGAGAAAUCAAACAAGAAAACUCGAUAGUGACUGGUGUCACUUGGUAGUGCCAAAGUAAUUUAGAGGCUUCUUAUUUUUUUCUCAAAAAUGUUUAAAAUAAACUUUCUCAAUUAAAAAAAUCUGUUUUAGCCUUAUGAUCCUCUUUUUCUUAAAAAAGAGGGGUAUUCAAGUUAAAACAGUGCCAUCUUUCCCAACUGUUAGUUGGAAAGAAUCGCUUUACUCUUUCUGUCCCUCUCAAAUACCUUUGAUGUGCCAAGAAUGUGGCUUUUACGAGCUGAUUCUCCUGAUGAUAAUGUCUGUUCUAUCACUGUUCUUGCCGCAAAGAGGUCACAACAACUAUUGUCGGAAGAAAAGCCAGCUCUUUCUCUCAUCAGUCAGGCCGCUUAUCCAGAGAUCCACUUAUUUAAGCUGCAAAACAAAAAUAUCAAGGUGAGGGCCGGGCGCGGUGGCUCACGUCUGUAAUCCCAGCACUUUGGGAGGCCAGGGCGGGUGGAUCAUGAGGCCAGGAGACUGAGACCAUCCUAGCUAACAUGGUGAAACCCUGUCUCUACUAAAAUUACAAAAAAAUUAGCUGGGCAUGGUGGCAGGCGCCUUUAGUCCCAGCUACUCAGGAGGCUGAGGCAGGAGAAUGGGGUGAACCUGGGAGACAGAGCUUGCAGUGAGC